rnacentral:rRNA from 1 species
UACGUAGGGUGCGAGCGUUAAUCGGAAUUACUGGGCGUAAAGUGUGCGCAGGCGGCUUCGCAAGUCGAGUGUGAAAUCCCCGAGCUUAACUUGGGAAUUGCGCUCGAAACUACGGAGCUGGAGUGUGGCAGAGGAAGGUGGAAUUCCACGUGUAGCGGUGAAAUGCGUAGAGAUGUGGAGGAACACCAAUGGCGAAGGCAGCCUCCUGGGCCAAUACUGACACUCAUGCACGAAAGCGUGGGGAGCAAACAGG